rnacentral:rRNA from 1 species
CCUACGGGAGGCUGCAGUGGGGAAUAUUGCACAAUGGGGGAAACCCUGAUGCAGCAACGCCGCGUGAGUGAAGAAGUAAUUCGUUAUGUAAAGCUCUAUCAGCAGGGAAGAAAAUGACGGUAACUGAAUAAGAAGCCCCGGCUAACUAGGUGCCAGCAGCCGCGCUAAUACGUAGGGGGCAAGCGUUAUCCGGAUUUACUGGGUGUAAAGGGAGCGUAGACGGGAGGGCAAGGCUGUAGUGAAAGGCGGAGGCUCAACCCCCGGACUGCUCUUGAAACUGUACGGCUGGAGUGCAGGAGAGGUAAGUGGAAUUCCUAGUGUAGCGGUGAAAUGCGGAGAUAUUAGGAGGAACACCAGUGGCGAAGGCGGCUUACUGGACUGGAACUGACGUUGAGGCUCGAAAGCGUGGGGAGCAAACAGGAUUAGAUACCCCUGUAGUC